AUGAGUGCUCAAUUUGUUGUUGGUAGGAACUAUGAAUUGAAAAACACUAUACGGAAGGAGAGAGAGAGAGAGAGAACCGUACGGUGAGAGAGGAAGAAAGGUUCUGGAGAAGUGAAGUUAAGAAAGGAGAAGGAAGAUAGGAUGAAUAAAGAAGAAGAGGGUUUUGUGGGAUACUAAAAUUGAAGUCAAAAAUUAUGAAAAAUUCAUCUUAAGGUCACGCGCCAUUGUUUGCCUGAUUUAUCUGAUAUGUCCAGUCCGUCUGAUUUGCUUCUGCGACUACCUGUGAUCAGGCACGCGACCAGGCUUAGAGGCAUCUACCUAGAAUCUGUUUUUGUCAGCCAACCUAUGUGCCUCCCGUGGAGGUUCCGGAUAUGUCAAGUGAUUAUCGCUAAGUGAUUUAAAGUUUAGGUUUUGUUUUCAUGUUUGGUUGAACAAGUCUUGUGUAUUUUGUAAAUAGGGCUAAGUCCCUUUUUGUCUAAUCUGCAUAUAUAUGACGACUUAAAGAUAAUGUGUACAUAUGUAUAUAAAAAGUUUAAAAUUUUUCUGUUUCAUAUA